ACAGGGUAGCUUGCUCCUGGGUGACGAGCGGCGGACGGGUGAGUAAUGUCUGGGAAACUGCCUGAUGGAGGGGGAUAACUACUGGAAACGGUAGCUAAUACCGCAUAAUGUCGCAAGACCAAAGAGGGGGACCUUCGGGCCUCUUGCCAUCAGAUGUGCCCAGAUGGGAUUAGCUAGUAGGUGGGGUAACGGCUCACCUAGGCGACGAUCCCUAGCUGGUCUGAGAGGAUGACCAGCCACACUGGAACUGAGACACGGUCCAGACUCCUACGGGAGGCAGCAGUGGGGAAUAUUGCACAAUGGGCGCAAGCCUGAUGCAGCCAUGCCGCGUGUAUGAAGAAGGCCUUCGGGUUGUAAAGUACUUUCAGCGAGGAGGAAGGCAUUAAGGUUAAUAACCUUAGUGAUUGACGUUACUCGCAGAAGAAGCACCGGCUAACUCCGUGCCAGCAGCCGCGGUAAUACGGAGGGUGCAAGCGUUAAUCGGAAUUACUGGGCGUAAAGCGCACGCAGGCGGUCUGUCAAGUCGGAUGUGAAAUCCCCGGGCUCAACCUGGGAACUGCAUUCGAAACUGGCAGGCUAGAGUCUUGUAGAGGGGGGUAGAAUUCCAGGUGUAGCGGUGAAAUGCGUAGAGAUCUGGAGGAAUACCCGGUGGCGAAGGCGGCCCCCUGGACAAAGACUACCGUUCAGGCGAAG
rnacentral:rRNA from 1 species